UAAGGAAUAUUGGACAAUGGAGGCAACUCUGAUCCAGCCAUGCCGCGUGAAGGAGUAAGGCCCUAUGGGUUGUAAACUUCUUUUAGACGGGACAAAACCCCUUUACGUGUAAAGGGUUGAUGGUACUGUCAGAAUAAGCAUCGGCUAACUUCGUGCCAGCAGCCGCGGUAAUACGAAGGAUGCAAGCGUUAUCCGGAAUUAUUGGGUUUAAAGGGUGCGUAGGCGGACUAAUAAGUCAGUGGUGAAAGCCUGCAGCUUAACUGCAGAAUUGCCAUUGAUACUGUUAGUCUUGAGUACGGUUGAGGUAGGCGGAAUGUGUCAUGUAGCGGUGAAAUGCUUAGAUAUGACACAGAACACCGAUUGCGAAGGCAGCUUGCUAAGCUGUAACGGACGCUGAGGCACGAAAGCGUGGGGAGCAAACA
rnacentral:rRNA from 1 species